GGCUGUUAUGUACUUGAUGUGUUUGUGAACUAGGCUGUUGUGUAUUAACAGCCUAGUUCACAAACACAUCCGUGUAUUGGAUGUGA
rnacentral:pre_miRNA from 1 species